rnacentral:rRNA from 1 species
UACGGGGGGGGCAAGCGUUGUUCGGAAUUACUGGGCGUAAAGCGCGCGUAGGCGGACCUGCAAGUCGAGGGUGAAAGCCCGAGGCUCAACCUCGGAACUGCCUUCGAUACUGCGGGUCUCGAGUCCGGGAGAGGUGAGUGGAAUUCCUAGUGUAGAGGUGAAAUUCGUAGAUAUUAGGAAGAACACCAGUGGCGAAGGCGGCUCACUGGCCCGGUACUGACGCUGAGGCGCGAAAGCGUGGGGAGCAAACAGG